rnacentral:rRNA from 1 species
UACAGAGGGUGCAAGCGUUGUUCGGAAUUAUUGGGCGUAAAGGGCGCGUAGGCGGUGCGGUAAGUCUGUAGUGAAAUCUCUGGGCUCAACUCAGAGUCUGCUAUAGAAACUGCCGUGCUAGAGUGUGGGAGAGGUGAGUGGAAUUCCCAGUGUAGAGGUGAAAUUCGUAGAUAUUGGGAAGAACACCGGUGGCGAAGGCGGCUCUCUGGACCGAUACUGACGCUGAGGCGCGAAAGCGUGGGGAGCAAACAGG